rnacentral:rRNA from 1 species
GACGAACGCUGGCGGCGUGCUUAACACAUGCAAGUCGAGCGGAAAGGCCACUUCGGUGGUACUCGAGCGGCGAACGGGUGAGUAACACGUGAGCAAUCUGCCCCUGGCUUUGGGAUAGCCACCGGAAACGGUGAUUAAUACCGGAUACGACCACUUCUCGCAUGGGAUGGUGGUGGAAAGUUUUUUCGGCCAGGGAUGUGCUCGCGGCCUAUCAGCUUGAUGGUGAGGUAAUGGCUCACCAUGGCUUCGACGGGUAGCCGGCCUGAGAGGGUGACCGGUCACACUGGGACUGAGACACGGCCCAGACUCCUACGGGAGGCAGCAGUGGGGAAUAUUGGACAAUGGGCGGAAGCCUGAUCCAGCAACGCCGCGUGAGGGAUGACGGCCUUCAGGUUGUAAGCCUCUUUCAGCAGGGACGAAGCGCAAGUGACGGUACCUGCAGAAGAAGCACCGGCCAACUACGUGCCAGCCGCCGCGGUAA